rnacentral:misc_RNA from 1 species
AGCUGUUCCCCUCUGGAGGUUGAAUAACCUUCAUAAUUUAAAAGGGCCCAAGUUUACUUGCGGCCCUCUUUUUUUGUCCGG